rnacentral:SRP_RNA from 1 species
GCCGGGCGUGGCAGCGCACACCUGUUGUCCCAGCUACUCGGGAGGCUGAGGCAGGAGGAUCGCUUGAGCCCAGGAGUUCGAGGCUGUAAUGCGCUAUGAUAUAUGUAGUGUGCACCUGUGAAUAGCCACUGUACUCCAGCCUGGGCAACAUAGCGAGACCCUGUCUCAA